CCUACGGGAUGCACCAGUGGGGAAUAUUGGACAAUGGGCGAAAGCCUGAUCCAGCAAUGCCGCGUGUGUGAAGAAGGUCUUCGGAUUGUAAAGCACUUUCGACGGGGACGAUGACGACGGCACCCGUAGAAGAAGCCCCGGCUAACUUCGUGCCAGCAGCCGCGGUAAUACGAAGGGGGCUAGCGUUGCUCGGAAUGACUGGGCGUAAAGGGCGCGUAGGCGGUUUAUGCAGUCAGAUGUGAAAUCCCCGGGCUUAACCUGGGAACUGCAUUUGAGACGCAUAGACUAGAGGUCGAGAGAGGGUUGUGGAAUUCCCAGUGUAGAGGUGAAAUUCGUAGAUAUUGGGAAGAACACCGGUGGCGAAGGCGGCAACCUGCUCGAUUCUGACGCUGAGGCUCGAAAGCGUGGGGAGCAAACAGGAUUAGAUACCCGCGUAGUC
rnacentral:rRNA from 1 species